UACGGAGGGGGCUAGCGUUGUUCGGAAUUACUGGGCGUAAAGCGCGCGUAGGCGGUUUUUCAAGUCAGAGGUGAAAGCCCGGAGCUCAACUCCGGAAUAGCCUUUGAAACUGGAUAACUUGAGUCUUGGAGAGGCGAGUGGAAUUCCGAGUGUAGAGGUGAAAUUCGUAGAUAUUCGGAAGAACACCAGUGGCGAAGGCGACUCGCUGGACAAGUACUGACGCUGAGGUGCGAAAGCGUGGGGAGCAAACAGG
rnacentral:rRNA from 1 species